AUGGCUGAAAAGAUAGAAGAUCAAAAAAGAGAAAUAGAUGGUUUUCUGAGCAUAUUGUGCAACAAUCUCCAUGAACUCCAGGAAAAUACAGUUUCUUCCUUGGUUGAGUCACAGAAGCUUUGUGGGACCCUAAAUGAAGACCUGAAGACAGUAAAGGAAACCCAUUUGCAGGAACUUUCCCAGUUAGUCAGUAGUUGGACAGAGUAGAUUUAAACAGAGGGCCCUGGAAAGGCACAGUAUUUAGU
rnacentral:lncRNA from 1 species